rnacentral:antisense_RNA from 18 species
AAAGAGAGAUAUGCAGGAACAUACCUCUCUAGUAGCCACUACUAGUUAUAAGAACUAGCGGCUUACUGAGUUAUUGGUUUUAUUUCAAACGCUUAACCGUUCAGCUCCUCAAAGCUUA